rnacentral:tRNA from 1 species
CCUUUGAUAGCUCAGUUGGUAAAGCGGUGGACUGUAGAUCCAUAGGUCGCUGGUUCAAAUCCGGCUCGAAGGA